GACGAACGCUGGCGGCGUGCCUAAUACAUGCAAGUUGAGCGCUGAAGGUUGGUACUUGUACCAACUGGAUGAGCAGCGAACGGGUGAGUAACGCGUGGGGAAUCUGCCUUUGAGCGGGGGACAACAUUUGGAAACGAAUGCUAAUACCGCAUAAAAACUUUAAACACAAGUUUUAAGUUUGAAAGAUGCAAUUGCAUCACUCAAAGAUGAUCCCGCGUUGUAUUAGCUAGUUGGUGAGGUAAAGGCUCACCAAGGCGAUGAUACAUAGCCGACCUGAGAGGGUGAGCGGCCACAUUGGGACUGAGACACGGCCCAAACUCCUACGGGAGGCAGCAGUAGGGAAUCUUCGGCAAUGGACGAAAGUCUGACCGAGCAACGCCGCGUGAGUGAAGAAGGUUUUCGGAUCGGAAAACUCUGUUGGUAGAGAAGAACGUUGGUGAGAGUGGAAAGCUCAUUAAGUGACGGUAACUACCCAGAAAGGGACGGCUAACUACGUG
rnacentral:rRNA from 1 species